rnacentral:misc_RNA from 1 species
AAGACUAUAGACCUGCGGAGUACCUGCGGAAGGAUCAUUACCGAGUUAUACAACUCCCAAACCCACUGUGAACCUUACCUCAGUUGCCUCGGCGGGACCGCCCCGGCCGCCGCGCAAGCGGCGCCGGACUCCAAGGCGCCCGCCGCAGGGACCCGAAACUCUUUUGCAUUACGCCCAACGGCGGGAAUUUUUUCUCUGAGUGCAUAAGCAAAACAAAUGAAUCAAAACUUUUAGCAACGG